rnacentral:rRNA from 1 species
ACUCCUACGGGAGGCAGCAGUGGGGAAUAUUGCACAAUGGGCGCAAGCCUGAUGCAGCAACGCCGCGUGAGGGAUGACGGCCUUCGGUUGUAAACCUCUUUAGCAGGAAGAAGCGAAGUGACGGUACCUGCAGAAAAGCACCGGCUAACUACGUGCCAGCAGCCGCGGUAAUACGUAGGGUGCAAGCGUUGUCCGGAAUUAUUGGGCGUAAAGAGCUCGUAGGCGGUUUGUCACGUCUGCUGUGAAAAUCCAAGGCUCAACCUUGGACUUGCAGUGGGUACGGGCAGGCUAGANUGCGGUAGGGGAGAUGGAAUUCCUGGUGUAGCGGUGGAAUGCGCAGAUAUCAGGAGGAACACCAAUGGCGAAGGCACAUCUCUGGGCCGUAACUGACGCUGAGGAGCGAAAGCGUGGGGAGC